rnacentral:rRNA from 1 species
GACGAACGCUGGCGGCGUGCCUAAUACAUGCAAGUAGAACGCUGAAGGAGGAGCUUGCUUCUCUGGAUGAGUUGCGAACGGGUGAGUAACGCGUAGGUAACCUGCCUGGUAGCGGGGGAUAACUAUUGGAAACGAUAGCUAAUACCGCAUAAGAGUAGAUGUUGCAUGACAUUUGCUUAAAAGGUGCAAUUGCAUCACUACCAGAUGGACCUGCGUUGUAUUAGCUAGUUGGUGAGGUAACGGCUCACCAAGGCGACGAUACAUAGCCGACCUGAGAGGGUGAUCGGCCACACUGGGACUGAGACACGGCCCAGACUCCUACGGGAGGCAACAGUAGGGAAUCUUCGGCAAUAGACGGAAGUCUGACCGAGCAACGCCGCGUGAGUGAAGAAGGUUUUCGGAUCGUAAAGCUCUGUUGUAAGAGAAGAACGAGUGUGAGAGUGGAAAGUUCACACUGUGACGGUAUCUUACCAGAAAGGGACGGCUAACUACGUG